rnacentral:rRNA from 1 species
UACGGAGGAUGCGAGCGUUAUCCGGAUUUAUUGGGUUUAAAGGGUGCGUAGGCGGGCUUUUAAGUCAGCGGUAAAAAUUCGGGGCUCAACCCCGUCCGGCCGUUGAAACUGGGGGUCUUGAGUGGGCGAGAAGAAGGCGGAAUGCGUGGUGUAGCGGUGAAAUGCAUAGAUAUCACGCAGAACCCCGAUUGCGAAGGCAGCCUUCCGGCGCCCUACUGACGCUGAGGCGCGAAAGUGCGGGGAUCGAACAGG